GUUUUGCACAAGGGAUAGCAGCGGAAAUCCUUUUUUGUCUCGUUUUUUGGGGCGAGACCAAAAAGAUUGUAGCGAAUAGCUCGACCCGCU
rnacentral:sRNA from 1 species